rnacentral:rRNA from 1 species
GGCAUGGAUUAGGCAUGCAAGUCGAACGAGGAUAUAUCCUUCGGGAUAUAAGCCGAGUGGCGCAAGGGUGAGUAAUGCAUAGAUUACCUGCCUCUAGGAUAAGGACAACUUUGUGAAAACGAAGCUAAUACUUAAUAAUACAAAAGAAAAUUAUUUUCUUUUGUCAAUGGGAGGGUAGCAAUACCUUUUGCCUAGAGAGGGGUUUAUGUCCUAUCAGCUUGUUGGUGGGGUAAUGGCCUACCAAGGCGAAGACGGGUAGCCGGUCUUAGAGGAUGGUCGGCCACACUGGGACUGAGACACUGCCCAGACUUCUACGGAAGGCUGCAGUCGAGAAUCUUUCGCAAUGCCCGAAAGGGUGACGAAGCGACGCCGCGUGAGUGAGGAAGGCCUUCGGGUUGUAAAGCUCUGUCAGGAGUUAAGAAAUGUAAGUGUGCUAAUACCACAUUUAUUUGACGAAGGCUCCAAAGGAAGCCACGGCUAACUCUGUGCCAGCAGCCGCGGUAAUACAGAGGUGGCAAGCGUUGUUCGGAAUUAUUGGGCGUAAAGAGCACGUAGGUGGGUUUGUAAGUCAGAUGUGAAAGCCUUCUGUUCAACGGAAGAAUUGCAUCUGAAACUGCGAGUCUUGAGUGUAGGAGGGGAGAAUGGAACUUCUGGUGGAGCGGUGAAAUGCGUAGAUAUCAGAAGGAACGCCGGCGGCGAAAGCGAUUCUCUGGCCUAUUACUGACACUCAGUGUGCGAAAGCUAGGGGAGCAAACGGGAUUAGAUACCCCGGUAGUCCUAGCCGUAAACGAUGGGCACUAAGUAGAGGGAAUUACCGAUGUUCUCUCUGCCGUAGCUAACGCAUUAAGUGCCCCGCCUGGGGAGUACGGCCGCAAGGCUAAAACUCAAAAGAAUUGACGGGGGCUCACCAAGCGGUGG